rnacentral:rRNA from 1 species
UCGCCUGUUUUAUCAAAAACAUCGCCUCUUGCUAAAACAAAAAUAUAAGAGGUCCCGCCUGCCCUGUGACUAUAUGUUUAACGGCCGCGGUAUUUUGACCGUGCGAAGGUAGCGCAAUCACUUGUCUCUUAAAUGGGGACCUGUAUGAAUGGCAUAACGAGGGCUUGACUGUCUCCUCUUUCAAGUCAAUGAAAUUGAUCUUCCCGUGCAGAAGCGGGAAUAAGCACAUAAGACGAGAAGACCCUAUGGAGCUUUAGACACGAAAGCAGAUCAGCAUUAAUACCCCCAACACGGGGCACGAAUAAACUGAACCCUGCUCUAAUGUCUUAGGUUGGGGCGACCGCGGAGAAAUAAAAAACCCCCGCAAGGACCGAAUGUACUACAUUCACAACCAAGAGUGACAGCUCUAAUUAACAGAUACUUCUGACCAAUAAGAUCCGGCAACGCCGAUCAAUGGACCAAGUUACCCUAGGGAUAACAGCGCAAUCUCCUCUUAGAGCCCGUAUCAACGAGGAGGUUUACGACCUCGAUGUUGGAUCAGGACAUCCUAAUGGUGCAGCCGCUAUUAAGGGUUCGUUUGUUCAACGAUUAAAGUCCUACGUGAUCUGAGUUCAGACCGG